rnacentral:rRNA from 1 species
GUCUACGGCCAUGCCACCCUGAACAAGCCCGAUCCCGUCUGAUCUCAGAAGCUAAGCAGGGUUGGGCCUGGUUAGUACUUGGGUGGGAGACCACGCAGGAAGACCAGGUGCUGUAGGUG